rnacentral:rRNA from 1 species
GAUGAACGCUAGCGGCAGGCUUAAUACAUGCAAGUCGAGGGGCAACAGGGGUAGCAAUACCUGCUGGCGACCGGCAAACGGGUGCGGAACACGUACAGAACCUUCCUUUAAGCGGGGGAUAGCCCGGAGAAAUCCGGAUUAAUACCCCAUAGUAAUGUUGGGUGGCAUCACCUGGUAUUUAAAGAUUUAUCACUUAAAGAUGGCUGUGCGGCUGAUUAGGUAGUUGGUGCGGGUAACGGCCCACCAAGCCAGCGAUCAGUAACUGGUGUGAGAGCACGACCAGUCACACGGGGCACUGAGACACGGGCCCGACUCCUACGGGAGGCAGCAGUAAGGAAUAUUGGUCAAUGGACGCAAGUCUGAUCCAGCCAUGCC